AGCGAACGCUGGCGGCGGGCCUAACACAUGCAAGUCGAACGGUCCUUCGGGACAGUGGCGGACGGGUGAGUAACGCGUGGGAACGUGCCCUUUGGUUCGGAACAACUCAGGGAAACUUGAGCUAAUACCGGAUGUGCCCUUCGGGGGAAAGAUUUAUCGCCAUUGGAGCGGCCCGCGUUGGAUUAGCUAGUUGGUGGGGUAAAGGCCCACCAAGGCUACGAUCCAUAGCUGGUCUGAGAGGAUGAUCAGCCACACUGGGACUGAGACACGGCCCAGACUCCUACGGGAGGCAGCAGUGGGGAAUCUUGCGCAAUGGGCGAAAGCCUGACGCAGCCAUGCCGCGUGAAUGAUGAAGGUCUUAGGAUUGUAAAAUUCUUUCAGCGGGGAAGAUAAUGACGGUACCCGCAGAAGAAGCUCCGGCUAACUUCGUGCCAGCCGCCGCCGUAACAC
rnacentral:rRNA from 1 species